UACAGAGGUCUCAAGCGUUGUUCGGAAUCACUGGGCGUAAAGGGUGUGUAGGCGGUGUGCUAAGUCAGAUGUGAAAGCCCGGGGCUCAACCUCGGAACUGCAUCCGAUACUGGCAUGCUAGAGAAUUGGAGAGGAGUCUAGAAUUCACGGUGUAGCAGUGAAAUGCGUAGAUAUCGUGAGGAAUACCAAGUGCGAAGGCAGGACUCUGGACAUUUUCUGACGCUGAGACACGAAGGCCAGGGGAGCGAACGGG
rnacentral:rRNA from 1 species